AGCGAACGCUGGCGGCAGGCUUAACACAUGCAAGUCGAACGGGCGUAGCAAUACGUCAGUGGCAGACGGGUGAGUAACGCGUGGGAACGUACCUUUUGGUUCGGAACAACCCACGGGAAACGUUGGGCUAAUACCGGAUAAGCCCUUACGGGGAAAGGAUUUAUCGCCGAAAGAUCGGCCCGCGUCUGAUUAGCUAGUUGGUGUGGUAACGGCGCACCAAGGCGACGAUCAGUAGCUGGUCUGAGAGGAUGAUCAGCCACAUUGGGACUGAGACACGGCCCAAACCUACCUACGGGAGGGCAGCGAGGUAGGGGGAAGUAAUUGGACAAUGGGGCGGCAAGCCUGAUCCAGCCAUGCCGCGUGAGUGAUGAAGGCCCUA
rnacentral:rRNA from 1 species